ensembl:lncRNA
AUGACUUUUUAUGCAUUCCACUGUGAAACAGAGGUGGAGGCACCAAAUCAAUGUACCACUGUAGGACAGCAGUUUAUGGAUCUUUUCCCAGUCAUCAGAUAUCAUCUGAGAGGAGUGACCCUCGAGUCCAGCAGUCUUGGAACUCUGAUGUGGAUGAUAAAAUCUUCUUAUGAUUUAUAUAUUGUGUUCUGUGCAAGCAGUCCAGUGCAGUUCACUGUUCUCUGUUUCCUCCUCGACACAUGCCCGGAGACAGGAGAGCCAAUCAGAGAGAGCAGGGGGGGGGCUGCUGCACCAUAUGUUGAACCAGGCUGGUUUCCUGAACAGCCACACAGCUCUAGUCCGGAUGUCUCAUGUCACCCUGUUCUCUCUGUGCACUAGGCCAGCUGUGCCCUUUCCUGCCCUCUUGGCUUCUCCCCUUGUUUUGCAUUAA